UUCAACAAAUAAGUUCUUACUUGAUAAAUAUUUUAAUUACGAAUUAUUAUUUUAAAUAUACCUAUAUAAAGAAAUCAGGGCGAUCUUUUUUUUAACUGAAACUUUCUUUUUGCAAAUUAACAAGCCGAAAAAAAAAUUAUUGAAGUAAGUUUACAAAAACUACUGGACAUUGCUGGCCAUGAUAUCACAGGAUAUGUGUUUAAGUUAACCGAUGGUUGUGGGAUAAAGGUCUUGCGGCGUUAUUCGAACCGCAUUUAACAAACGUUUAAAGACAUGGCAUCGCUGGGUCAGUGUUUAACACCAUACAAACAGACAAUUGUACAAGCAUAUCGUGCGCAUGAAGUAAGUUAUUGCAAAUGAAAAAUGUAACAAAGUAAAAAUUCAUCUUGAAGAUCCGCUAUAACGAAGA